GAUGAAGAACGUAGCGAAAUGCGAUAAGUAAUGUGAAUUGCAGAAUUCAGUGAAUCAUCGAAUCUUUGAACGCACAUUGCGCCCCCUGGCAUUCCGGGGGGCAUGCCUGUCCGAGCGUCAUUUCUGCCCUCAAGCACGGCUUGUGUGUUGGGUGUGGUCCCCCCGGGGACCUGCCCGAAAGGCAGCGGCGACGUCCGUCUGGUCCUCGAGCGUAUGGGGCUCUGUCACUCGCUCGGGAAGGACCUGCGGGGGUUGGUCACCACCAUGUUUUACCACGGUUGACCUCGGAUCAGGUAGGAGUUACCCGCUGAACUUAAGCAUAUCAAUAAGCGGAGGA
rnacentral:misc_RNA from 1 species